UACAGAGGGUGCGAGCGUUUAAUCGGAAUUACUGGGCGUAAAGCGCGCGUAGGCGGCUUUGCAAGUCGAUUGUGAAAUCCCCAGGCUUAACCUGGGAACUGCAUUCGAGACUGCAUAGCUAGAGUAUGGGAGAGGGAAGUGGAAUUUCAGGUGUAGCGGUGAAAUGCGUAGAUAUCUGAAGGAACAUCAGUGGCGAAAGCGACUUCCUGGACCAAUACUGACGCUCAUGUGCGAAAGCGUGGGGAGCAAACAGG
rnacentral:rRNA from 1 species